GUAUUCCUUACCUCUUGCAUUUAUUUAGCUGCUGGAGGAGUGCUCUGAAAAGCUGAAUCUGAGCAUGGCUGCUCAAUGAGUGUUCUUGGCAAACUGCACUGAAGCACUAGAACCUAAAGACAUACCCCAUGAUUCCAACGUUUAUAUUUCAACUGGAGAGAUCUUUUUCUAUUUGUUAAAAAAAAACCCUAAAAGAGAGAGAUCUUGGUCCAGCCUGCACACUGGAGGUUACAAACACUCUCCUGGGAACUGUGAAAUAUGGAGCAGAGUCUGACAGACUGAGAAGAUUAUAGAGCCUGACCUCCCUCUGGCUGGGAAAUACAAACACCUGUCCACUUCUAUAAAUGAGACUUCACCACUGUUCUUCAGACCAUCUGUCAUUAAUGAAGAAGUGUCUUGGCCAGUGGUGGGCCUGGUUCUUCAUCAUGGUGUUAAGCAAAAGAAAACCAAGCCUGUCAUUUACAAUUGCAUGUAGAAAAUUAUUGAGGGGCCCUCUGACAGAAUUUUAGUGUUUAAGAACUGCAGAGGGUGGGAUAACUAUGAGACUAUUGCAUCACAAAAUCAAACGGAAAAGGUAACCUUUGUUUAUUAGCAUGUUUGAAUGAAUGCAUUUCUGAAGUGCCUUCAUUGUUAAUGCAGUCUUACUGCUUUCAUGUAAUAUAAAUUAUUCUUAAAAAACACCCCAACCAACCCACCUCCCUCCACACCAAAAAGAAAACCCAAACAAAAAAAAAAAAGUACAAAGACUUGGAAUUAAAAACAAAUCAAAACAAAAAGCAGGAACAAUAUAUAUGUUCAGGUUAGAUAAGGGGAAUUUUACAUCUGUGCUUCCUCUUUCCUGACAUCUCCCCCCCCAUUAAUCUGCUUGUCUUUGCCUAGUAGUCACCUGGCUUCUGAUUAUUUCUUUUUCUACUUUUGUGUGUGCUGUCUAACAGUACAUUAUCUGAGGAUUUAUUACCAAGGAACAUUAUUUCUCUAUUAUCUGAGGCAUGGGUUAUAUAUGUUUGAAAAUGACCAUGCUUGAAAAUAUGGUCAGUUUUUAUUGGGUAAAUAUUUAAUUAUAAAUGUUCAGAAGUUAAAAUAUUUGUUUUAAAAUAUGACACUGUGACCAUAUAACGACAUAUUUUAAAGUUAUGCUAUAUAGAAGAAUCUUUUUUCUUUUAUAAGUAAUUUUAAUACUUUCUUGCCAAUUCAGUAGGUUUUAGAAGUAUUGAUGUCAUUGUUUUCAGGUGAGUCUAGAAGGUUUUACGUAUUUGUCCCAAAACAAGUAUGGUUUAUUUACUUCAUAUCACCUAUUUAUAUUAUGGCUCUCUAAUAUAUUUGGAAGAAGUUUCUAAAAAUAAAUUUUAAAUACUUUUGAAACCUAGGGCUGAU
rnacentral:lncRNA from 14 species